rnacentral:rRNA from 1 species
CACGUAGGGGGCGAGCGUUAUCCGGAUUCAUUGGGCGUAAAGCGCGCGCAGGCGGCCGCUCAAGCGGGACCUCUAAUCCCGGGGCUCAACCCCGGGCCGGGUCCCGAACUGGGCGGCUCGCUCCAGGUAGGGGAGAGCGGAAUUCCCGGUGUAGCGGUGGAAUGCGCAGAUAUCGGGAGGGACACCGACGGCGAAGGCAGCUCUCUGGGCCUCGGAGGACGCUGAGGCGCGAAAGCCGGGGGAGCGAACA